rnacentral:rRNA from 1 species
UGCAGUCGACGAACUUCCGUUAUUGAUUAUGACGUACUUGUACUGAUUGAGAUUUUAACACGAAGUGAGUGGCGAACGGGUGAGUAACACGUGGGUAACCUGCCCAGAAGUAGGGGAUAACACCUGGAAACAGAUGCUAAUACCGUAUAACAGAGAAAACCGCAUGGUUUUCUUUUAAAAGAUGGCUCUGCUAUCACUUCUGGAUGGACCCGCGGCGUAUUAGCUAGUUGGUGAGGUAAAGGCUCACCAAGGCAGUGAUACGUAGCCGACCUGAGAGGGUAAUCGGCCACAUUGGGACUGAGACACGGCCCAGACUCCUACGGGAGGCAGCAGUAGGGAAUCUUCCACAAUGGACGCAAGUCUGAUGGAGCAACGCCGCGUGAGUGAAGAAGGGUUUCGGCUCGUAAAGCUCUGUUGUUAAAGAAGAACGUGGGUAAGAGUAACUGUUUACCCAGUGACGGUAUUUAACCAGAAAGCCACGGCUAACUACGUGCCAGCAGCCGCGGUAAUACGUAGGUGGCAAGCGUUAUCCGGAUUUAUUGGGCGUAAAGCGAGCGCAGGCGGUCUUUUAAGUCUAAUGUGAAAGCCUUCGGCUCAACCGAAGAAGUGCAUUGGAAACUGGGAGACUUGAGUGCAGAAGAGGACAGUGGAACUCCAUGUGUAGCGGUGAAAUGCGUAGAUAUAUGGGAAGAACACCAGUGGCGAAAGCGGGCUGUCUGGUCUGCAACUGACGCUGAGGCUCGAAAGGCAUGGGUAGCGACAGGAUUAGAUACCUGGUAGUCCAUGCCGUAAACGAUGAUUACUAAGUGUUGGAGGGUUUCC